rnacentral:rRNA from 1 species
UGGGGAAUUUUGGACAAUGGGGGAAACCCUGAUCCAGCCAUCCCGCGUGUGCGAUGAAGGCCUUCGGGUUGUAAAGCACUUUUGUCAGGAAAGAAACGUCAUGGGUUAAUACCCCGUGAAACUGACGGUACCUGCAGAAUAAGCACCGGCUAACUACGUGCCAGCAGCCGCGGUAACACGUAGGGUGCAAGCGUUAAUCGGAAUUACUGGGCGUAAAGCGUGCGCAGGCGGUUCGGAAAGAAAGAUGUGAAAUCCCAGAGCUCAACUUUGGAACUGCAUUUUUAACUACCGGGCUAGGGGGGGUCAGAGGGAGGUGGAAUUCGUGGUGUAGCAGUGAAAUGCGUAGAUAUGCGGAGGAACACCGAUGGCGAAGGCAGCCUCCUGGGAUAACACUGACGCUCAUGCACGAAAGCGUGGGGAGCAAACAGG